rfam:Schistosoma mansoni strain Puerto Rico chromosome 7, complete genome
AUCCAGCUGGCGAGUCCCAAAUAGGACGAAACGCGUUUCAAACUGUAU